rnacentral:ncRNA from 2 species
UCAAACAAGCUGGGGUGCCGUUAUGGCUGAGAUAAUACCCAUGGAACCUAAGCAGGGUAAUGCCUGCCGGGGAGCUUGGUUUGUUUACGA